rnacentral:rRNA from 4 species
UUCGAGCUCGGCUCGACUCUCCCACCCUUUGUGAACGUACCUCUGUUGCUUUGGCGGCUCCGGCCGCCAAAGGACCUUCAAACUCCAGUCAGUAAACGCAGACGUCUGAUAAACAAGUUAAUAAACUAAAACUUUCAACAACGGAUCUCUUGGUUCUGGCAUCGAUGAAGAACGCAGCGAAAUGCGAUAAGUAAUGUGAAUUGCAGAAUUCAGUGAAUCAUCGAAUCUUUGAACGCACAUUGCGCCCCUUGGUAUUCCGGGGGGCAUGCCUGUUCGAGCGUCAUUACAACCCUCAAGCUCUGCUUGGAAUUGGGCACCGUCCUCACUGCGGACGCGCCUCAAAGACCUCGGCGGUGGCUGUUCAGCCCUCAAGCGUAGUAGAAUACACCUCGCUUUGGAGCGGUUGGCGUCGCCCGCCGGACGAACCUUCUGAACUUUUCUCAAGGUUGACCUCGGAUCAGGUAGGGAUACCCGCUGAACUUAA